rnacentral:rRNA from 1 species
UACGAAGGGGGCUAGCGUUGCUCGGAAUCACUGGGCGUAAAGGGUGCGUAGGCGGGUCUUUAAGUCGGGGGUGAAAUCCUGGAGCUUAACUCCAGAACUGCCUUCGAUACUGGAGAGCUCGAGUCCGGGAGAGGUGAGUGGAACUGCGAGUGUAGAGGUGAAAUUCGUAGAUAUUCGCAAGAACACCAGUGGCGAAGGCGGCUCACUGGCCCGGUACUGACGCUGAGGUGCGAAAGCGUGGGGAGCAAACAGG